rnacentral:rRNA from 1 species
GAUGAACGCUGGCGGCGUGCCUAAUACAUGCAAGUCGAGCGAACAGACGAGGAGCUUGCUCCUCUGACGUUAGCGGCGGACGGGUGAGUAACACGUGGAUAACCUACCUAUAAGACUGGGAUAACUUCGGGAAACCGGAGCUAAUACCGGAUAAUAUAUUGAACCGCAUGGUUCAAUAGUGAAAGACGGUGUUGCUGUCACUUAUAGAUGGAUCCGCGCCGCAUUAGCUAGUUGGUAAGGUAACGGCUUACGAAGGCGACGAUGCGUAGCCGACCUGAGAGGGUGAUCGGCCACAUGGGAGCGGAGACACGGUCCAGACUCCUACGGGAGGCAGCAGUAUGGAAUCUUCCGCAAUGGGCGAGAGCCUGACGGAGCAACGCCGCGUGAGUGAUGACGGUCUUCGGAUCGUAAAACUCUGUUAUUAGGGAAGAACAAAUGUGUAAGUAACUAUGCACGGCUUGACGGUACCUAAUCAGAAAGCCACGGCUAACUACGUG